CCUCAAAGACAAAGCAUGUCAGCCAGUGAGUCAGUGGAGCAGCUCAGUGACUAAGCUGCUGUAGUUAUUGCAUAGGUUUGCGCAGUUCUGUGGCUAUCCUUAUUUAAAUUGGGUGCCAAAAACGGUUUCUGGCUACUCCGAGGUGGUGAGGAUUACAGAGACGAUUCAUCAUCCUUCCUCCUCACUUCAUAGACGCUCACAAAUGAUCAAACAUGAGGAUUAAACUGCAUAUAUACAGACACUUUCUACAAAAUGAGUAUGGGAAGAACAACAUUCCCUGAAGAAUAUGACUGUAGACUGACUAUUUAUGCCUGAUAGGAACAUUACUCCUUAAUUUUAACUACACAAGAAAUAACUACAUUUUUUUUGUUUUUUUAAAUGGACAGUAAAAUGUUGAAGAAUUUUCUGAGAACAAUAAUAAAAACGCUAGGUACCACACCAACUCAGUCUGUGUAACCGUACUGCCUAUGCAACAAAAUAUAACUGAAAUUCUUUCUUUUUUGCCUUUUUGACAUAUAUGCUUAAGUACAUAAGGACACAAACCUGCUUAUUUGGGGGAUGGCAGGAAAAGUUGGGCCUUUAUGUUAUGUCUAACACUUCAGAAAUCUGAAAGGUAGAGCAUGUAUCUUGUUUUAAGGAGUGAUAACUCCCUGAUUAAGUGACUGUUCUCUGGCACUAUUGUCUUCUAUCUGCUUGACUAUGUCCCUUAUAUGAAAAAACAGCUGCCAAGGAGCAUAGGCAGUCGGUGUCCCAAUGUUCUAAUUGUGAUAGUUGUGCACGGAAGUCUAUUUCAGGUUGGAUUUUUUUGAUGUUUCUAUGCCUGUCUUUUUUGUUUGUUUUUUUUUUUUUUUUUUCCUUUGCUGUGUGCACUGGGAAAGAGUUGCUAAGGAAUAUGUUGCUUUACAUUUCUUUUUGAGCAUAUACCGACUGUACUAUGAGUUAAACAUGAAAAAUGAAAAUAAGCACGAAAGACAACAUCCGUUCUCAUUUUGAUUUCCUGGAAGGAAAGUGCGGUUGGGCAGAUGGUGCUUUUUUGUUUUACUAAACUGAAUGAUCAGAUGUAAAUAAUAUAUACCAUACAUACUAUAAAGAUUGUUGAAGGUAAGGUUUUUUCCUAUAUCGUAGAGAAUUUCUCACUCAGUGAUAUGUCAAAUUUGGGGGUCUUUUUAGCUUUUUUUUUUCUUUUUAUACCUCAACUUGCUUAUGACUAUGCCUAGUCAUAUUUAUUUCAACUGCUGUAUUUCAGAGGGUUGAGUUGUAUGUAUAUUAAUUCAGGACCUUUCCAUGAAGAACCAUGAUAUUGGGUAUCUGGUUAAAGAGACAGAAGAGAGUAGCUGCUAAUUUGGCAUCACAGUAUCUGCAUUUUGGAAACCUGCAGGAACCACAAAAAUAAUACAAGCCCUGAAAGUUUAGGCUCCCUGGAAAAAAAGAAUCUGAGGAAAUAUUAAGUGUUACUAUAAUGCAGUGCUCAAUAUAACUUAGAGAAAAAUAGGGGCAAAUGUUUAAGAGCAUUCCUGAGUUUCCAAGGAUGCAUACCACUUUGCUUCUUUUGGCCACAUCUUCACUGUGGCUACAGUGUGCCUGUUGUAUAAAGGGUAAGUGCAGGGCAGAUUACUUAUCUUGGAACCCUAUAUUUUGGAGUUGUUCAGGGGCGGUUGUCUUCAGAGGAAGUUAAAACAGACUGCCUAGGUUUGUCUGUUCUUUUUCUCCUGAACUAUUUCUGGAAGCACCUUCUGUCUUCAGCAGAAGCUUCUGGGAAUCUGGUUGCAGGACAAGCAUUGCACAAGCCAGAACUCAGCAGAGCCUCAGCAAACUAAUGUAAUAUUCAGCCAGAUUUACCCUGGGAAAAGAAAAGCUCCACAGGUGUGGCCCCAUCACAUGAAGAGGGGAAUUGUGCUUCACGCAACAGAUCAUCCUGAGUGCUGUCAUGUGGCACAUACAAGACAACCAAGCAUACAGGCCAUGUCAGCAUGGAUUUAUGAAAGUGGGAUUCUGAUUCUAGACAUUCUACCAGCCUGACAUCCACUGGGAAAGUGAUGACACCAUAAAUUAUUUAAAGGUUUGAAAGCCACAAGAACUACUGUAUAUAACCAGAUUGGAUUGACUUUUUAACUCUUUUGAUUAAUAAUACAUGAAGUCUUAGAUAUGUGAACUGGUCGAGUGCUAACCUGUUAACAAAAGGAGUAGAAGAGAUGGAUACUAACAUUUCUCAUAAGUUAUUCUACUUAACACAUUGGCCAAACAAAACAAACAAAUAGAUUGCUCUUCCUCAGUCUUAUACCUUCAAUGCACUAUCAAUAUUUGAUGUCUAGCUAAUGUCUCUAUAUAUCUGGCCAUAGAUGAAAUUUUGAUCAUCUAGCUUCCCAACUUUAAACUUCCCUGCCUUGCCUUUUGACAAAACAUGCAACUAGAAAGUAGAAACAGAGCUUAAUAUCCUCGUUUCUUUUUCUGACUUUCACUUUAACAGUACUAACUACUCAGAAGUGAAAAAAAUGAUAUUUCAGUCUUCAGCAACAAAGAAGAGCUAGAAUUUCCUCAGUUUAUGACAUUUUAUGCUCAGCAGCAGGAUGAGAAUAGAAUAUAUGCCACUUCAGAAAAAUUUCAUGUUCUAUCCUUCCGCUGCUGGCUCUGUUUUAAUUAUCUCUCAGUUUCAUAGGUUUGGUCUCUUACAUGCUGCUUUGGGUGGAGCUCAGAGAAAAGAAGCAUUGCUCUUUCUUUCCUCUUCAAGUAAAGAUGAAGGUGUGUGGGAGAGACUGCAUUUCUAAGCAACAAGAAAAACUCUGCUGGAGACAGACCAAUUUGCUUCUGGGGGGCCUGACCCAGGAUACAGGCUAUCCAGGGUGACUUCAGUGUCAUAUAUUAGUUUACAAUAAAAACAGAUGGUUUUUUUUCUGUGCAAUAGAAAAGUACUAUCCCUCUGGAAUAUUUUCUGUUAUUCCAACUGAAGCUUGACUCUUGUGGGAACAAUAGGAAACCCUUGUUUAUCUGUUUCUCUUCAGUCAUUCCUGCAUACUUAUCUUUUAUCCAUGUAAUUCAAUUCUCAACUUCCUUCUGCACCAGGCACUGACUGUCCAAUCAACAUGCAGAUUGUCCAGCCACAGGAUCUCUGACCAGUUCUUUUUGCCUUUUGUCAUGCCCAUGGGGCCACUCCUUUUUGGUGCCCUUAAUGACAAAUAUGUAUGGCUGCCCAUGGCCCUCUUUUACAUCUUUUAAAGUUUCUGUGCCAGCAUGCUAACCUCCAUCCAUCCUCUGUCCAGGACCACCAAAUGAUUCCUCACGAAAUACUUUUUUAAAUCCUAAGAUCUAUGUGAGAUUAAUCCAUGCAUGAAUGAUGGAAUGUUUCAACUCAAAGGCAAAUCCAACACUUUUUGUCAGUCUGUCUUCUUCAAUUUGGUCAGUUAUUUUGGUGUAAAUUUGUAUUGAUGUAAUUAGUGGAUUUCAAAUGAAUUUUUACAACAUAAGCAAAAUCAGAAUUGCAUCCCAAUUCUGGAAAAUAAAUGAGGUUCAAUUUCUCUCUAAAAUGCAAACUUCAGAAAAUUAUAACAGCCCACAAAUUAUACCUGAAUCAGGUCUCACUUGUAACACCAAAAAUAAAUAUAAAUUAUUUAUCAACAUUUUUAAAAGUUAAUGAGUCCCAUCACCCAGCUUUUAUACACACAAUUACUAUGUGGAAUCUGUUGUCGUAUUCUGUUUCCUUUUCUGACUCUAAAUAUUGCCCAAUUUGUUUGUAGUUUCCAAAAAUAUCCUGUAAGUAUGCUCAUAUUCUCACAAAAAUAAUACAAAUUUCAGCUAUAGCUGGUUUAUAUCUACACCUCUUUUCAUUAUAUACCUGCCAUAUCAGUAGCAGUGUAGGUCCACUAUAAAAUAAAAUUCUAGCUAGUGUUAUUUUUGCAUACUUUCUUACUGCAUUUUAAGGUUUAACCAGGGAACUGAGGCCAGCAGACCAGCAUGUGACUUUACCAGAAUAGCAAGUAUCUUUCCCGUAAUAUCUUUCAACUGUCCUUUUGUUUUCCACCUGGGAUUAUGUAACAAAAUUAUCACCUGCAUCUAAUCAAUUACUUUUCUUCUAUAUCUUUUCAUCUUUUGCAGAAAGAUCCUUUAGAGAUAAUCAAGUGAUUAUUGCAAGUUCAACCUCAGAUGCUGCAGGCAUUAAAAGAUGAAAAUUGCCUAAAGUCCACUGUUGUACAACAAAUCUGUACCUCUGGACUCCUGUCCUGAGGUGAAAAUGCAAGACAGAGAGAUAUUUAGAAUCACUUUGACAGUUCAUAAAAUUAAGCAGGGAUUAGGGAUUCUCUCAGAAAUAAAUAAAUAAAAAAUAUAAUAGCAGAGGGCCCAAAUAAUAUUAAUCACAUCUCCUUGCAACAGGUAUUACUGCAACCCACUUUUGGGAAGAAAAAGAAGUCAUAUAUUUAAUCCUCGUAUGUAUUUAGCAGUGACGAUGCCAAUAUAAAAAUUUGAGUGCUUGAGUUCAACAUGUUAAUACUUAUAUAUAUAUAUAUAUAUGCAUACAUACACAUACAUAAUUAAUGUAUAAACUACCCAUUCAGUUUAAAUUUAUACAGAUAUAGGUUCCUAUAGAAAUCUUAUACAUCUUGUGUAUUCUAUUUUCUUCCAAAUUUUAUGGAUUAGCCCCAAUAACACAAACAUUUGAACAUAUGCUUAACUUUAUAUAAUGAGAAUGUCUUGCUGAUUUUAGCAUAACUCUCAGUCUACAUAAAUUUAAGCAAAAGUCUAAGAGUCUGCUGGGAACAUAAUCUAUGGUGUCAGUCAUUUGAAAUACACAUUUAAUAAGAAAAGAAUUGAAACAACUGCAGUAGACACAGAUGACUUUGGUCUCUGCUGUGGUUGCAGCAGGUAAACAGAAAUAUAUUCGGGGGAGGAUGGAGUUUUACAGUCACUCUCCCAAAAUCCCCCACCUACCUCACAAAUUUUCAGUACAGUUCAAAAUAUUUCCUUUCCAAAGCCAAAAGGCAACAUUACAACGCCACGCAACAGUGCUAGUCCACUUACAGAAGCAUAUAUUCUUUCUCUUCUGGAUGAACAAACGGCCAUAUACUGCACUUGCACAGUGUAUAAAAUCAAAGUUUCACUGUAUUAGAGUAUUAUCAUGAUUCAAUAUAUUUGGAAAACGUUCAAGUUAAUCUAACAUGUUUCUAAAAAACAGAAAAGUCCAAAAUAGAACUAGCUGAAUUGGAUUAAAUACUUUUUAAAUUAAAAAAUAAAAACCUAGAGAUAUCCUUCAAGUUUUACUUUAUGCUCAAAUUUUUGCCACUUAAUUUAAACACUGAACUCUAACCAUAUUUUUUUAAUGAUGUGAAUACUGCUUUGUUAUAGUUAACAAAUUUCCUGUUUCAAAAAAGAAACAAGAAUUACUCUUUACAUAGUACAGUUUAGUUAUUAGAAUUAUAAUUAAUUUCCAUUUAAAAAAUUUAUUAUGAAAAUAAUUUUCCAUCCCAGUCUAGUCCAGAAUGCUUACUGGAGCUGGAAUAAUAUAUCACACAAAUGUUGAUUUAAAUAUUUAAACGAAUUCACUUACUUUGGAUUUACAUCCCCUUUGGGCUCUACUUUCCAUGAAUACUUGAUAAAUAAACUUACUGUAAGGAGGAUCUGCUGGGAGGACAAAUGACAAACAAAAAUUGAAGAAUACAGGUGAUAUAUGAAUUUUUGAAUUCUAAUCAUCAAUUGUUGCACAAGCAAUUAAAGCUGACUGGAGGACAAUAAUUCUAUGCUACAUUAAUUUUCAAGACUUCAUGUCUUCAUGUCUAGUUUUGCUUGGUUUGCUUUUGUUUCUUUUUCUGGAGAUAACAGUAACUUUUUGGACUGUUUUGUGAAUAUGCCCACAUAUGUGAGUGCAUGUCUGUGUACCACAGGCAACGAUACUAAUAGAACAAGGCUGAAGUCCUUUCUCAGCCUGAAUCACAUUUUACUCAUUUUCAUCACCGAUUUUUAUCUGUGAUUACUCAGAGUUAGCUGGAGGAUGAACCUGCUGCUGGGCUUCCUCCUUCCAAGGUCACUGUUAAAUCACAUGGUUGCCAGCAAAACCAAAAAGUCUGUUUCACCACUCAUUUUCCCAAAAAAAAUUUCCAUUCAUAUGAAGUAUGAACAUGAUUUUCAGAAUUGAAGGGGCUGAGCAAAAAGAUUCCUGUCCAACCUGUGAGUAUUAAAUAACCACAGUUCGCAUGGCAAGGCUGGGUUCAUCUCCCCUCACAAAUUUGUGGAGGAAAUCCCUGGUUCACCCCCAUCAGCCACGCCAUUGCUGCCAGCACAGCUGCGCUGUGAGUCACCAAUGUCCCUGAAUAGCCCUGUGGCCUCCUGGUCACACCAGGGCAUGACACUCAUGCAGUUACUUAGACAAUCAUCCCCAAGGGCCAAGGAUGCCUUUUCUUGUUGGAAUAUUUCUUCUUUGGUCUAGAAGAAAGAAACUGAGACAAGAAAUAGGAACUAAACUCUACAGGAAAAGUGGACUGGCAACUGGCUCCAUGUUGCUGUUGUCCAACUCACAGAAUCACAGAAUGCUAGGGAUUGGAAGGGACCUCAAAAGUCCAAUCCCCGUGCCAGAGCAGGAACACCUAGAUGAGGCUACACAGGAAUGUGUCCGGGCAGGUUUUGAUUGUCUCCCUAGGCAGCCUGUUCUAGUAUUCUAUUACCUUCACUGAGAAGAAGUUUCUUCUCAAAUUUAAGUGGAAUCUCUUGUGUUCUAGUUUAAACCCAUUUCCCCUUGUCUUAGCAUUGGUUGUCACUGAGAAGAGCCUGGCUUUAUCCUUGUGACACUCACCCUUUAUAUAUUUAUAAACAUUAAUAAUAAGGUCACUCCUCAGUCUCCUCCAAACUAAAGAGACCCAGCUCCCUCAGCCUUUCCUCAUAAGGGAGAUGCUCCACUCCCUUCAUCAUCUUUGUUGCCCUGCACUGGACUCUCUCCAGCAGUUCCCUGUCCUUCUUGAACUGAGAGGCCCAGAACUGGACACAGUAUUCCAGAUGUAACUCCCUUCCCUGUAGGAAUCAGGGCUUGCACACAUCAACCUCAGGGUGAAUCUGGAGGCUGACAAGCUUCAAGGACAGACAAAGCAAGAGAAGUUUCAUCUCCCCACAAUUUCCUCUGUCUGGGCUGGGUUCCCAGAACAAAGAGCUUCUUCACUGUGGCCUCACAGUGAGAUAAUACUGUGAUGCAAAUAGUACUGCUAGCUGUUGAAAGUCCCUGCAUAGCCCCAUCCAAAUAAUGAUCAUGCCAUUCAGUGUUAAUACAACCAAUAUGAACUCUCAGUUUUGUGGGGCGAUUUGUAUAUCUCUGACCCUAACCUCAUAUAAUCGUUUCUUACUUACUUACGUCAAUGGUCAACAGCAUAACAAAUCCUUCAUCGUGAGAAUGUGUAUAUCACUUUUCAACAAACCCUGGCCUUUUGAGGUGAAAUGAUACACUGCCACUUAUUUCCAAAUUGGCAUCCCUCUUAGUUGCCAAGGCAAGUUAAUUUGCAAAUCAGCAUUUUACAUGAGGCUUUUAAGCCGAUCUAGUAGACAAUAGCUGCCAUUGCUGUGUAAGUAAGUAGUGUCUAAAGCACUUAAAAUUAGAUUAUUUUUUAAAAAUCCAGAAAGAUCAGUGAUUUUGCUCUGUACAUGACCAGAGACUAUUUCACUGACUAAAUAGAAAAUCUAGAUUUAGAAAAGUACAGCGAGGCUCUAAUCUAAUUGGAAAUGAAUGAAGGAUGUGCACACAGUGGUACUGGCAGAUGUGAAAUGAGAAAUGUUAUUUUCACUGUUCUACAGAAAAAUAAAAUACACAGAACACACAUAAUUAAUUCAGAAACUGUAUGGCUUAGAUACUACAAAACAGUAGCUAGUGACAGUUAGAGGAGGAGAAAGUAGUUACUGCAACUGGACUUGCAUUCAGUUACCCUGCAAUUGGCUUAAAACUCAGAUUUUGACUUGAACAGUGUCAAAGAUUUGCAAACUUUCUGGUAAUUCCGUUGGUUUGUGAUGGAGGCAGAGUUAGGAGACAAAUUUCUUUUGAGGAAAAUGUUCUUUUUUUGAAGACAUAUCUCAACUGCAAGUUCUUCAUCCAUCAUGUUUUUUGGAACUCUGACUUUGAACCAGUUAGGUACUGAUGAGAAAAAGGUGGAUGUGAAAAAAUAAAGGACUUUUUCUAGAAGAUAAUAUGUUUGAGAGAGAGACACAUGGCUGGAGUGAAAAGUGAAAAAAUAAAGAAGUACAACAAAGUUUGUAGUAGACUACAUGUAAUACAUCUGUUUUGGUUUCUUUACAUUGCUUUUUUUAAACCUUAUUUAAAGUUUUCCAUCCAUUCAUGUCUAUUUGCUACUUUUUUGUUAUGUUGGCACAGAAAUGGUUUUAUAUUCAACUUCAGUUACUACUAAAUGUCUAUCAAAGAUAUAUUACAAAGAUUACAGGUUCAUCAUUAAAGUCAUGGGAAUUACAUGAGGCCAUCCAGUACCUCAGCUUUUUGUGAGCCUGAUGGCCUUUCCAGUUGCUUUUACUAACAUCCUGAAUUACACAGUGAGAAGCCUUUGACGAAUGCAGGCUGAGUAGAGUUUCUGCAGCAGAAUUCAGGGGAAAAUUACCCCUUCUAUCGUUUUAUUUGCACCUGACACAUUUCCAUGAGGCAAGCUAGGGGGAGAACUUGCAUCACAAGUGUCACUAGCAUUUGUCCACUUACUCCCCAGCAAACUUCUGGUAGUAUUACACUGUGGUAGUAACAUGGAUAUGAGCAGUUACUGUAUAGCAGCUGACCAACUGCACAUAACUCCUGAAGCAGUUCAUGUGCCUGUAGGUUUAGUCUCUGCUGCUCCUCUCUUAGCAGUCUCAUAAAUUGUUAUAUUUUUAAUUUAUUUAGUUUUGUUGUUGAGGGUGGAGGUUUUUUUGUUUGGAUGUUUUUUGUGGCAUUUGUUUGUUUGUUUGUUUGUUUGCUAUCACAGAAUCACAGAAUGGUUAGGGCUGGAGGGGACCUCUGGAGAUCUAGUCCAACCCACCUGCUAAAGCAGGUUCAUCUAGAGUAGAUCGCACAGGAAUUUGUCCAGGUGGGUUUUGAAUGUCUCCGGAGAAGGAGACUCCACAGCUUCUUUGGGCAGCCUGUUCCAGUGCUCUCUCACCCUCAAAGUAAAGAAAUUUUUCCUCAUAUUCAGAUGGCAUCUCCUGUCCUUCAGUUUGUGCCCAAUGCCCCCACCCUAUCAUUCAGUACCACUGAUCCCAUCCUCUUCACAUCCACCCUUGAGAUAUUUAUAAACAUUUAUGAGAUCCCCUCUCAUCCUUCUCUUUUCCAGGCUGAACAGACCCAGCUGUCUCAGUUUCUCCUCGUAAGAAAGGUGGUCCAAACCCCUAGACCCCUAAAUGUAGAAUUCUUCGUCAAAUCUAAAUCCUUAGCCUAAGUGAGAUGUUAGACUCUAGGAAAGCCAAUUCAUAUAAACAGUGUAAAAGAAGCCAGAAGUGGAAGCAAACUGUGGCUGGGUGGAUUUUUCACAUGGACAUUUUCUCUAUAACAUACAUAACACUAGCUGGUAAAAGGCAAGUUUUGGCAGUGUUAUUAGUCCAUGGGUGCUCAGUCUAUAAAUUGUAUUGAUACACAUGGUUGACACAUCAGUGGUAUGUGGAAAAUAAACUGCCCAAUCUCUCUGGGCCUAACAACUUACAAGCCUCAAUGAUAUACUGUAAGAUUGGUGCUGUUGACUUCAAAAGCCAUAAAUCAAACUGCCAACAGAAGGUGUUGGCAAAAUUAAGCAACCAAGAUUGAACAGAGAACAAAAGCUGUUCUGCAUAGAUAGUUAUGUCAUAUUCAGACCUUCUAAUAUUUAAUUUAUAACCUUAUUUGACUUUUAUGAAAUAGCUUUAAAUCUGUAUGGGCAAUAAGUUUAUAAAGCAAUUAACAGUACAAUCCAAAAGUUGUCUAGUAGUGAUGUAUACUUCCAAAAACUAAGCUUCACUCAGAAGUAUUGGCUUUUAAAACAUUAAGAAAACCUUAUGUUUAUCAGAAACAUGCAAGGCACUGCUGAAUAACUGUUGGUCCAUAUUAAUUCAUUCAUUUCAUAAAUAACAUCUGAAAAGACCAAAAAUAGAAAGGGUACAUUGGUCACACCAGUAUUAAAUGCUGUCAGAAUUCCUUUUGUUCACUCACAAGAAAUGGUGUUUCUACCUAUCCCACAGUCCAGCAACUCCUGUGGUUGAUGUUAGUGUGGAUCCAUCCUAAAUAUAUGAAUCUGCAAUGCAAAUUCUGGGAAUGCCUAAAUCCAGAUCUGAGCAUUGCGGCUUGAUCCUGUUUACUUUCAGUAAUCAAGAAGACAAUCUGAGAGUAGAAUGAAUUUGAUACUGGACCUAGAUUUUAUGGAUUAAUAAUAUAUGUAUCCACUUUGGUCUGGAGAAGCAGACAAGGCUUAUUUGUUAUUUGUAACACUGCUUAAAUAUUAAUCAUACCAGGAGUCCAUAUUUACCUCGUAUAGAUAACACCUUUAUCUUCAUGGAGAUAAUAAUCUGAAGAGUUGUUUCUUCACCAUUAGUUUGGCAAAAGUUACCCCGCAACUACAACUUUUACAUGGCAAUGAAAAACAAUGAGACGUAAAUACCAUAACGAAGUUCAACAGAGAUAAGCCUCUCACAUUGCCUGCUGUAGUUGUUUCAGUGGAGUUGUUCGCUGUCACUAGUGACUCCCAAUGCACAACAAUGUGCAAUGUACAUGUCUGAAGGUGAGCUAAAGGAUCAGAACACAAAAACCUACUGCAGUAACAGUAACUGCAUACCAAUCCACUCAAAUUGAGACUGGAAAGUGAAGAGAUGGUCAAAAAGUCCUCAUAGUGCAUUGUCAAUUUAAGCUGUUAAAAAUCUUUUCACUCCCCUUGAAGUCUUUUUUGAAAAACAGAAAGUGGAAUUGAAUUGCACAAGCAAUCAUGUGCACAACCUCACACCAGUAUCUAUAGACUUGACAUGGGUACAUCCCAGAGCUUCCAACUCUUUGUAGCAUUAAAGCCCUUUUUCUCCCAGUCUGGUAUGCAAAGAGGAGAUCAGAGGAAUAGCAAGAGGCAAAUCCUGUUCCUCAAAGAUAAGGAAAGAGUGACACAAUAUAAAAUGGUUGCUUCUAGCCACCAUACACCUAUGUUGUUUCCCAACCUGUUGCCAUUAUUUCUGUUCCACAUCAGUUUUGCCCUCUGAGAAAAGUAGUUGAUUAAGUGAAAAUACAGCAUGAUUAAAGCACCUGAAAGGAACUUUUAAUGUUAUCUGUCUGCUUGCUAUCAUUUGACAAUGAAAAGUACCAGACUCAAUUACCCUGGAGUUCCUAAUGAGGAAUAAUAAAACAAAAAACCCAGUCAAAAGUACCUCACACUCCCCAAAACCAUCUGAAGUCAAAGAACUUGAAAAUGACACUUUACUUUCUUGAUGUUCACAGUGUGUUUUCCUGCUCAUAGAGACUCCAGGAAGUUAGUAAAAAAAAAAGAUAUUAAUGAGUGUCAGUGAUACAGUAGAAACAUACAUGUAGUUCUAUACUGUUUUUUUCUUCCUGUCCAACAAGAAAUGCCAAUCACAAGCUUUCUACCUCACCAAAGCUUCACAGAAGAAGUCAGUGUGGGUCUAAGUCUCCUUCACAUUUGAUGAUUUUUUUUCCUAUAUAUUAAAUAAGGAGAAUUAUUGCCAUUUGACCACUUGCUCUAACCAACAGAUCAUAUUAUUUGAGAUAAGAAUUUGAGAGCUGCCACUCUAUAGCAACUUAAUGAGUUUCUGCAAACUACAUCACCACCUCAAAUAGGCAGAACUAGCAGGCUGCAAAGGUGACUAUCACAUUGCUAGGCUAGAUGCUGAAACCCUGAAUCCAAAACUGCCUGACCUUUCUCAAGUCUCCCUAAGGCUUGCAAAGUAUGAAAUCAUACAUUCUGACAAAAUAGCAAAGGGAAAUGCUAAAAAAUUUGUCAAGAAUGGAAAAGUGUUCAUUGUGGGUUAAAGAUGCAGUGCCCUGGUGUAAUCAUGGACAUAAAAGAAAUCAAUACCACAACUAGCUCCUGUAGAAAGAAAGGGAAAUUGUCAAUCACAAUUAGCUAGACGACAUUUAUGUCUUAAUGCUGGACAUUUUUCUCUUUCUUGCCUCAUUGUAUGCCUAUGCUUUUCAGUAUGCCCUAUUCCCAUUCACCAUGUCAUCCUCUCCCAAGUUAUUCUGUGUGUGUUUUUAUCACUGUUCCAAAUUUCCCAUGCUCUGCUGGCUUGAGUUUGAGUGGCAGCGAGGAAUCUGUAAGCAGGUGUUGUGGAAGUGAAGCGUGCCAUUCGGUCAGUACAUUAGGUAAAGUAACGUCCCCCUGGGAACGCUAAUGCUUACAACUGCAUCAGCCCCAACUGUUCCUGCAAGAAUAGGAAGAGGCCAGUCCUGACCUGUUCUGACCAGAUGUUUUGGAAAUAUGUCCGUUUUUAGCAGAUAUAAUAACUGUUAAUCUAUCAAAAGUGUAAUAGCAAUGACUAACACAGACUCUCUAUUUACAACCUGGUAAUAAAAUGCAAAAGUAGAAAUUGGGGAUAUAGAAGAGGUUAUGUUUGAAUGUACAGGGUCAUAUUCAACAGUAGUUUAAGAAAAUUUCCAAGUUAUUCUGCUCUGUGUAAUAGAUAUGAUAUGACUGAUUCAGACAUGAAUGCAGAAAAAAUAGAUCACUUUUGAUUAGCCUAUGCCAAAAUUGUUCAAGAAUCUGUAGAGACUAGAUGUUAGAAAAAGCGCAAGACACCUAAUAUAAAAAACUCAUGCUGCAGUGAAUGCAAGUGGGUUACAAAUAUUAAGGCUCAUCUGGAAACCUUAAAACUUCUGCUUUGAGCUUUGAAAUGAAGGAAUCCAUGUUCCACAAACAAGAGGAAACUGUGUCCAUGUUCUUUUAUUAAUAUCCCUUCAAAUUGCUGAAAUGAGGUUUGUCAAAGGAAGAAGCACUCAUGAAAAACAAAUAUUCUGCUUUCCUUCCUCCUCCUUCACCUACUUUAUGGCCUGCCAAUAGCCCACCAGUUUUCUAACACCAUAUUUUUUUAAAAUAAGUACCUCUUCCUAGCAUAGAUAUAUAAAAGCAGUCUUUUCCGUUAUCAUUUUGAAGUGCAGAGAUUUCAUUUCAUUUCCCCUGUCCCAAAGGAAUAAACAUUUUUUUUUUUUUUUUUUUUCCUGUGAGGAUGAGUGGAAUUAUAGUGAGCUUGCACUCCAGGAAACAAGAACAAAAUGCAGUGCUGGGUAUUUUACAGACUAGAAUGUCUGGAUUUCUGAAGCACAUACUUAGACUUUUUUCUUCAUAUUUAUUAACAAUACUUUGCCUGUCACCAAAAAACAAAGCAUCUGAAUUCUGUGCUUAAAAUCAAAAUGCCUUUUUCCUCAUUUGAUGGUUUUGUUGUGCAACGAGACUUUUCACACACAAUACUAACACCAGUAAUAAUGAUUGUUACUAAUAAUAGUCAGGCAGUAAAAGUAUCAUUUAACAAUAAACAUUAUUCAGCAGUAUGGUUUUGCAUUGGGUCUUUCUGAUCAAACUAGAAAGAUUAUACUGGUUUACAUUCCAUCUUUUCAGCUGUGUUCUUUGAAGUAAAUGUUUCUUCUCCAGUGUUGAGUUUGUGGUAUACAGUGCCUAUCUAUGCGUACAAAGCAUCCCAUAUGGUUGAAGUAGGCUGGAGGGGUUGCUACUAACCAUAUUUUAAAAAGCAGAUGUUACUAAUUUCCUAAAUAUUACCCCCAAAUAAUGUCACUUGUGACUGACAACAGUUAGGCUCAUCAGUCCUUUCCAAUGUUCUUUUGCAUGUAACAUUUAAGGAAAACCAAAUAUUUCUCACCAAGUAUGUUUCUGAAAGGACAGAUCACUUUAUAUUACUGUUAAAUUGUUGAGUAGAAUGUCAGCUCCUGCAGGGGUAUGUAUGUAUGUGUUACAGGCCAGAAGGAAAAGUUUGUCUGCUAAUAGGACAUUCAGGGAAACUUUCAGAACAACCAUUUCAGAGUCUGGCUGCAUUGUGACAGGUUGAGGUUUUUAGCUCAAAGUGCCUAGCUGUGCCGUGCAAUAAACAAAGACUACUUUAUUUUACAUGUACAAAAGACUUUUUUACAGGUUUGCACAUUAAUGCACUAGGUGCUUCUGUAUACAAAGCCAAUGUCAGUUCCACAGUUGCUUUUCAGUCGAUGGCACUUACAGUAGUGAGUAAACAAAAAUGAAGGGUAGCACUGAACAUUUUGACCAUAAAUGGCACAGAAAUUAAAUGUCUGCUAGUAGUAAUCCUGAAAUAAAUUAGACAUCAAUGUAUAAGCAAGAUUUAAUUUUUAUGACAAGAACAUAGUGAUUUUUUUCAUUAUCAUAAAUCUCUCUCGAUCCAAACCUCAGAGAGUAUCUAACAAUUUGGAUGUGAGUUGGUGCCAUUCCUGGAUUUUUAGAAAGUCACACACUCAACAAAUGGUCUAAUAUUUCCAUCAGGAACCAGUUAAUGUAUCAGUGGUCUAUAGAAAUGAUGCAUCUCAGGCUUCCUCCUUUCUGCCAGUCACAGUAUGUUUCUUCAUUUUAGUCUAACAUGAAUUUCCCAAAUUCUCUAUGCUCCAUUGCAAGGCUCGCUGUAGGACUUUCCUAUCCAUUUUUUGCUGUUGCCAUCCUAAUAAUUUGCCCUACAGAUACUUAUUUAUGGAAGAUGGGUUUUGUCACCUGUUUAUUUACAAAGACUAUGAAAUCUUAAUCCUCUGAAGAAAGGAAGAUGGAAAAAGCUUCUUCAUUCCUAACUCUAGUGCACUUUUUAGCUAAAAUAGGAUCUAAAAGCUCUAUUUCAGCAACUUUUGCACACCUAUGCAAUCAAUAAUUCUCUUGUACAUUUUCUUUACAUACAUCUCUUUUUUUACAAUCAGGGCUACAAAGUCUUACAAAGAAAUAUGAGCAAAGAUGUUUCACCCUCUUGUACUUUUGCAUUGCAUAAACCAGGUAUCUAUGUUUUGUUUGCAGGCAACUGUCUGGUUCUACAAUUGAGGACUGACUAUUUUACACAUCUCUCUCUCAAGUAAAGAGUAGAUGUUAUGCCUAUCAUUUUCAGCAAUGUCUAACCUAAUUUGUAACAGUGUAACGGAAUUCUUUGCUCCACACUUACCUUGUAAAUUUCCAUUUUUGUCUUUUAUAACAUAUAUGAAACAUAUUUACACUUUGCUUAGUCUCUCCCCAUUGCCAGCAUGGACAUCAACCAUUCAAAGCAGAAAAUGAAUAGAAACUGGAGAAAGCGUGAGUGAUUUGCAACAGGCACACAUGGUUGAAUGUCAGCAUUUUGGUAUGUCAUUUAAUGGUCAGACACUUAGUGUAUUGCCAUCCAACAAACCUAUGUGACAUAUUAUCAAGGAAUAUAUGCCAGCUCUUUUCCAGCAAACUGGUUGAUCCUUGGUGUCAAGUACUUGUGGGUGUAUACCUUUUAUUGCUGUCACUGCAUUCAGCCUCCAGGGUGUUGCAUGAAAGGAUCACUGGAUGUUAAUGAAUAACAAAAUGUGUCAUUUCCCUUUAGAAUUUGCCUAUCAUAUACAGUGAAAAAUGCAUGUUUGUUUUCUUCUGUCUGUAUUUACACAUGUGUCAAAAUACGGACUGUUAAACCUGGCCACAUGCUUAGACAGUAUGUUGUCUUGUUAGUCUUUUUUCAUUAUUACUGCUGCACAUGAUCAUACAUCCCAUUUCAUACAAAAAAUAAGAACCACAACAAAAUAAAUUAGAAGAAAAAGAUCUGUUUCUUCCUGCUUGGAGCAGUACCUUAUGUUCAAAACUACACUUUCCUUAGACAAUGGUUUUGUAAGAAAUGCACUUAACCCAUUGAAGUAUUUUGCCACUCACAUGUCUAAAAGUAUAGAAAAUAAAAAUGUGAGAACCACCAUUAGAACUCAAGACCACAACUGAAUAAAUAGUAUCAAAGAACAAUUUGUGAAUAACCUGUAAAAUAGAUGUUAAUGUUCAUCAUUAUCAUAUUAUUUAAUUGACAUACUACUGUAGCCCAAUCUAUUUGUCGAAAUAGAGUUCAGACUUAUGAGUUUCAAAUAGUUUGUUGAGAAAACAUUCAUUUUGGACACAGGCCAAAGCAACCCAUGAAGAUCAGUCAACCAAUCCACAAACCAGUAUCAGGCCAUUGAAGUCUGACUGCAAGAAAGCAUUGUGGGGCACUUUCUGGACAGCUAACAAAUAGGCAGAAAAGCACAUUCUUUAAUAUAAGAGUUGGAAGAAGUUAUUUUUUUAUAAAUUCUUCCUUCAGCUCUUCUCAGAGCCUUCCUGACUUGCAGAUUUAUGUUUUGAGCAUUUGCCCACAGGUUUCUCAACUAGACCAAAUUCAAAGCAUCAGGGUACAAUAAAGUACUCUACAUAGGUAUCCAAGUGUCACUUUUAAGAUUGUUUUGCAGGUGCACAAGAAAAUCUGUAUAACUUUUAUAUACGGGAAGAGUGGUUGCAGGUAUUAAAUUACACAAGUAAUUUUAUUAGACAAUCUAGCAAUUAGAAAAUAUUAUUUGUAAUUUCCUCUGCAGAUUCUAAAAACUAUAUGUGAUACUAAUAUUUUUACAGAUAAUGUGUGCUAUUUCCCAGAAAAAGAUAUGUGGUUUUGUGCAUGUGUACAGUUUUAAAACUUAAUUCAGUGUGGGUCUUUAAUUGUGUUUUUCAGCAAACUGAUUUAAAGUUCCCUGGGGCACACAUACUGUAGGAUUGUGACAUAUCACACCAGGUUAAGUCGAACUCAAAAUGUUAUGUGAUAUGACAGAAUGUAAAACACAUGAUUAACGUAUCCACUGGGAAACUUGGCUUUAUGAAAAAUGGUGCAACAGGGAAACUCAAGGCACUCUCUGGUAAAUUCUAUUAAAAAAAAAAAAAAAUAAAGACUCAAAAGUAUAAGAAUAUGUCAGUCUCUUUUUAAAAUCUACAGCUUUCUACUUUGGAUAAAAUGUUGCUGUCAACAAUCAACAAAUAUUUGUAGUCAUUAUGAAUAGCAAAAGUUGUACUUCUCUUGGAAAAAAAUGAUUUGUUAACAAUUCAGAAUAUGACAACUAGGAUGAAGAACCUACUAGAGAUCCAUAAACAUAGAAUUUCACUUAGUAGUUCUUGAAAUCGUAGAUACAUACUACAUCCCUUCUGUCAAAUUAUGUAAAGUUAUCAUUUGGCAAUACAGGGAGAAUAAGUCUCUUUUCUGCCCUGUGUAAGAGCAACCAUAUCAUUACUUAGACAGAAACCAUGCGGUAUUACAGAGGUAUCAUAAAAGCGGGCUAUGAGCUAUACUAGGUAGACUUCAGUUCCAGUUUACUCCUUCCUGCAGCACUGCUAAAGUGACUCUUAAAAUUGGCUGUCCCUGUGAUACACCAACUCCGGUGUGAUGUUGGGCAGCACAAUCAUUGCCCACUCUUCAGGUUUUAUGGUCCUGCUCUGGUCCACUUUUUAAGAAAAAAUAUCAUUUUUAUAUUUUUUAAGCUAUCUUUUAUAAAACAAAACUUUUAUGCUAUUUGGUAAUUUAAAUUAACCUUUUAUUGGAGUCUUCUAAUCUUUUUCUGGCUGUCCUUCUCAGCUUUGAACUGAGUGGUGAAUUUCAACUAAAUUUGAUAAAGAUAGUGUUUCAAAAAUAUUGAGUUUCUCCGAGUGUUGUCAAAAUAGACAGCUGGCAGAGGACAGAGAUCCUCUUUGUGUCCUUUCUCAGAGAAAAUCUUACAUGCCUCUCAAAUCUUAUUAGACAGAAGAGAAUCAUCACUGACACUCACUUUCAGGACUUACAUGGAUUGGAAAGCAAAUCCAAAAUUCUUGAAAUCACUUGCUUUUUAUUGAAAAGAGUCUGACAAAACUCUAGCUGACUCAUUUACUACAUGGCUACUUCCUGAAAUGCAAUAGCAAAUGGAAAUACAAGAAGUCUGGAACCCACAAAGGAAUCAUAGUCAUGGGAGCCUGUGUACCAUUACUAAGUUGCAGAGCACAACUAAGCCAUGAGUACAGACAGGUCAUCUCCAACAGGAGAAACAGACAACCCUAGUCUUUAGUUUCAGCUUGUGCUAUAAUAGCCCAAAAAUCUGCCUGUUGCUGAGGAACAACAGACCAAGGGUCCAUCAGCCCGGAUUUUGUGAACUCUGGUCCUGAAGGUGAUACAGGGAAAAGUUUCUCAAGCUACUGGUCUACCUGGGCAGAGCUACCAGAGACACUGCAGGUGCAGAGUGACCCCCAGAAAAAAAAGAUAUACAUUUAUGGAAGCAGGGCUGGGUGGAAUGGGGCAUUGAGGGUCUCUGUGGAGUUACUUGCUGUGACACACUCCAGGGUGAGGCAAAUCAAGCAGAGCUAUUGGAAAGGUUACAGCACCCUUAUCCAUUCUGGUAUAUCAAGCCUUUACAGUAAAGCCUGUUAAUACUCAAGUAUUGAUAUUAAGGAAGAAGAUACAAACGUACCAAUCCACAGAGAAAAACAGGAGUGUCCAAUCUGAUAUGUGCUUUAAGAAUAAUCUAGCUUUCAAUUCUGUACUUUUGGAAAUUCAGGAUUCAUUAAAACUCUAAAAUACUGUCACACAUAGUUUCCACUGUCUUACCCUGUUUUCACCACAUUUCAGAAUAUGAAACACUAGGACACUUUUAAGGCUGUCGUUUGCAUAUGACAUUGUUCACUAAUGCAGUGACUUCUCUAUAAUCUACACAAAUAGAUUGUAUGAACCAGACUAACUGUAAUCUGAGGACAGCAAGUGAAUAUCCUUUCAGUGGGUUCACUAGGGAUGGAAGGCCACAAAGGGAACAGUUUUUUUAGGAUUCUCACAGUUCUGUUAAAGCUUUUAAAUUCUGACUAGAAGCACCUGACUAUAUUGAACUGGAAUUGUAAAUGAUGGUAUAUUAUUUAAUGUUUAACAUAUUUGGAAGUCAGUAAGGAAAUAUUUCCCCCUUUCCGUUAUUCUAGGAAAAAUAAAAUAUAUAUCCUCUUCCCAUCCUCCCACAAGAACAUUGGGAAUGGCUUUGGAAGAAUCAAGUGUCCUGAAUGAUCAAGCUGUUGAUUUGGUCUUGUAAAAUGCACAGGUUUUUGUGUCUGAAGUGAAGACUUUCAAAAUUAGAUUUUUCCUUUUUCAAAAACAUAGUCAAUUUUUUUUUUUUAUUUUUAAAAAUCAGCCUUAAAUCAGCCUUCCUUCUGAAAUCUGAAAUAACAUGCCCUCUUUUUUUUUUUUUUUUUUCCUUUUGAAAUAUUUUUCCUUAUAGGAACUUCAGUCAAGACAGUUCGUAAAUUGUUCUAUUCAAAGAAGCCCUCACCCACAACUGUAAAGAAAUAUUUCAGGUAAAUUACCAACUCCUCUGGCAAACUGUGGCAGACUCCUGUAAAGCACACAGAAGAACUUUGUAUCAAUGGUGUGCUUGAAGUGAUGUUAUAAGCAAUUAUUGACUUAUAUACACACAGAAUAAUAAACAUGCUAUAUUAGUCCACUUCAAGUGAAUAAAGACAUUCCUGAGGUCUGGACAGUUUUCUGCAGAGUGCUGCAGAACUGCAGGGUGCCUGAUACUCUUACAAGAACUCUCUGCCUAAAAAAGCACACUUAGUGCUGAGCCCGUCCACAGAGUUCACACCAUGCUCAGCCGAAUGGUCUUUUCAUUCUGCAGGCUCAAGGUAGAUGUUUCAAAUGUUUUUGUCAGAGGCAGAGGUACUGAGGAGAUCAAAUCACUGAAAGAAAAAACCCAACCAGAAGGAGGAUUUGUGAGGGCGGCACAGGACGGAGCCGUGCUUGCUAGCUGCCCAGCCAAGCAGCAGCGACAGCAGCUCCUGCUGCCGCCCGGGCUGGCGGUGGACUCAGGUUCCUUGCCCUGAGCCAGAGAUUCAGGGUGUGCUGCAGAGGUCACACAUGCUGGUUUUGGGCAGAGAAGGGGGGGAAUUGGAGCUCUGGUCUGUGUGGGGGUUGUGUGUGUGUCUGUCCUUUUAAUGGCCUGUUAGGCAGGAGCGCCAGAUGAUUUUAAGAGAUAAGACACUGCUUUGCAGCUGCAUCAUUAUGGCAAAGUCCUACAGAAUUUAAUAGGGUUGAAGCCAGUUGGAUUAUACUGAAAUAUAAUAUAGUUUCACAGAAAAUGCUUUAAAAAUAACCCCAACACCUAUAGAGUUUAAUAGCAAUGGUUGUCUUCUUAUAACAUUUUAAAACCAACAUAUGUGUUUUUAAUAGAACAUUUUAUCUCUGCUGUGUAUUCCUUUGGGUUCGCUUAAAAAUGCUAUAGAGAAGUUAUCAUUCUCUGUCCAGUAAUAUUGAAUUUUUCUAUGAGAGACAGUUGAAGUGAUCAAGUAGUAAUAGAAAUUGACGUCUCCAUUAAAGAAUAAAUGACCGUGCAGUUGCUUUGCAAAACCAAAGCAGUGCUUUUGCUGACCUGUAAAAGAAAUACUGACCCCAUCUUACUCAGUGUACUGAGUAUACCUGUUCUUUCUUAACUUUGUGCCUUUGCUGAUUGCAUAAAUUCUGCUUGAUGCUGAACACAUAGAGGAAGAAAAGGGACUGUAGUCCCAAAAAACUUGUAAUCUGAAAGCAUAGUUCACAAGAACAUAAAUGGUACAUUGCGUGAAAACAUCAAUAAGAAAUGCCUUUGCAUUUAUUAGCACGAUUAAGUGGAUUCUUGUAGAAGUGGCAGGAGUCACAUUUACGAGUUAUGAUAUUGCCAGCUCUUAGCUGAGGUGAGAAAACUUUUUGAAUCUGUUUCUUUCGGGACUGAGACAUGAACUUAGAAAACUUUUUGAAUCUGUUUCUUUCGGGACUGAGACAUGAACUUGUUCACUAAACUAGUUAUCUUCCCUAAUCAUCCACUCAGUUUUCAUGGCUUUCUACUAUUAAUUGUCACAUACUGCUGAAGUAUGGGGUCAAUGAUAUUAAACAUAGUUUUAAAUACUGCUAAUGUGAAAAAAUUGCAUGGAAGAUACAAUCGGUGGCCAAGGAGAAUAAAAUGAAUUUACUUUAUAUAUAAGACUGAAUGGAUAUUUUGUAAGGUCAGUUUGUUAGCUAGACACCAUGUUUUUAGAAAGCUCUUGGAUGCUUUUGAAGUUUUAGUGGAAGUUGGAAUUUUACAUAAAAACCUCCAAGAAGUUACUGUUCUAGCUAAUCAGAGAGAGAAAACAGAGGAGUCUAGGCCAUGGAACAAAUUAAAGUCAAAUCUUAUUACUACUUAUUAAAAGCAAAAAACAGGUCAGUCGCAAUUUAAGAAGAAUACUGAUUGGAUAUAUUCAGACCAUGUUCAUAUAAAUGAGGGUUACGAACAUCAAAACAAGCAAUUCAGUACAUGAAUCACCAGAGGACAGAGCUAUUAACUGAUAUAUUAGUGUACAAAUUAUUUCAAAGUGAGUAACUGGGCCCAUGCUCAUCUGAAAGGAGACUUGCAAUCAUUCAGAAGUAUACAGCCAUAUAGGUAAAUAAAACAUGGACAUGGAAAUUCAAACUUGCAUUCAAACUUGGCAAAACUGAUAAAUAAUGGAUUUUGUUAACUGAACCUAGGCUGGAGAAAUAGCCAUCCUCGUUACACACUCUUGAGUGGAAGUUCUCCCUGCAAAUUACUAAGGCUGACCCAUUUACUGUCUGACUCCUCCUGCCAUGGGAGUUAAUAUUCCCACGUCUCACCUUUAAUUUUUUCUGCCAGCAUUCAGUGUCACAUACUGUACCUCUUUAUAUCCGCAUCAAAAUGGGACUGGAGAAGAACGUUGUUAUCUACUUUCCUCGUCCUGCCUGAAAUACAUAGCUCAGUUCAACAAUAAUAAAAAAAAGCUCAUAUUAGGUGCACAAAAAUGAAACCUCCAAAGCUUUAAAAAAAAAAAUAAUAAUCUGAUGCACAGCAAGGUCUUUAUUCCAUCCAUUUUUAAUUUGCUUCCAUUUCACAUAUGGCUGCUCUCUACUGUACCAUACAUGAGAUUUUUCUCAGCUAUGUGUUUCUUUACUGUGCCCAGAACAUUCUCCAGGGGGAUUUUUAGUGAGUAGUGUUUCUUUCCAGACUUUUGAAGAGCCUGUCAGAAUCAAGCCUUUGCUGUUGUGGGAUGUCUCAGGAAGGGAUGGCGUAGCUGGGAAAUCAGGCACACUGUGGAAGCUCCUCUUCUCUUCCCCACAGGCCGUGGCUGCUCCUUCUCCCCAGUCCCUGCCCACUCCUCCCUGUACUCUGUCUUCCUUUUUUGUUGGAAACACACAGCCCCCACAGAAUAGUCUGAAUCAUGGAAAUACAUCUGGUACCUUGAAGGCUUUCUUUGGUACCUAAACCUGAGAUUAGAAUUAGGGUAAUCCUGCAUCAGAUAAAGGAUACCCAGGCAGCCUGAAGCUGGAUUUAUUAGGAGAUCCUGACCCAGGAUGUAACAAGCAGUGAUAUUUUUGCACGGCAUUUCAUGAUACCAAGAGAGGGAAGCUUGUUGGUGACAGAUUUUGGCUCUAGGACAUGGAAGGCCAUGAUGACCCAGUCAACAGGAGUUCUGAUUUCUGUUGUGAAGAUACGUGAUGCCUAUUGUUCUGUUCACGCUGGAAGAUAAAUUAAAUAUGUUCAAAUUAUCUAAUUAGGCUCCAACUCCACCAAAUUUUCUGGAAAAAGUGUAUCCUUCUUACCACAUAAGAAAUCCUUCUCUCCUUGAUCACACUCAGUUUCCAACCUGGACCCAAACUGUUGCUGAGACCUCUGUGGCUUCCCUUAGUGAAAGGAUUAAGACAGCUGAUAAGAAGGAACAUGAUUUCUCUCAUCGUACCAAGUCCCUCUUUUCUCUAGACUCUCCAGCGGCCUUUUCUUAUGUUCAAUCCACCUCUGGUUUAUUAAUGAACUAAACCUUCUAUUAAAUGGAUAUUUGCAUCAAACUCCUGGUAAAUUAUGAUAAUUUGAACUUAACAUCUUGACCUAUUCAAUAUGUCCUUCACCAGCUGUGGGGAAGGAAAAAAUUCUUAAAGGAGACAUGGACCUGUUUUGCAACCUGCUGGAGAGACAAAGUCCUUUGGCACAGGUACUGCAGAAGCCUUCAUGUGGCCUUUGAGGAACAGUGGAGACUUUAAAGAUGAAAGGGCUUAAUAAGUAUUUGAUGAUGAGGUAUAAUUUGCUAAAGGGAGAAACCAACCAAAAUGUACUUGUUUUUUAAAUGACUUGUGUUACUGUUUAAACAAAACAUAAGUUCAGCUGGAUCCUCCAACAAGAAGAAACCUAAAAUCAUAGCCAUUUGUAAACAGGUAGUUCACACAUUUUUCUGUCUCUUUUCUCAUGAAAUUACACGCCUAUGGAAGUGGUGAUAUAAAGAGUGGGUAUUUAAGAUUAGAAUAAAAUACCAACAUUUAUUGCAACAGACUUAGAGCUAAUUUUUGUAGUACUACUGACACAUCCUAUUGGAUUUGUAGGUUUGCAAAUAUUAUAUUACUAGAUUUUUGAAUCUUAUUAGUGAAUGUGCAUGUGUAGUGUUAUUGAAUUUGUUGUUUGCUAAUCUGAUAUGAGAAAUUGUUAUGGUCUCAAUUUUUCCAACAAUAUCUGCAAUUUUAAAUCCUUAAAGCAUGCUCCUAUUUUAUCAAAACCAGCAGUAAGACAUAUGUAUUAUUUUAAGUAUUAUGUAUAUUUAAGCAUUUUAAAUAUUUUGCACUGCAAAAUAAGGUUCCCAUAGUAUUUAUUAAUUUUAAUUGCCCCUAAGAUCUCACUAAGUUAGUAGGAUGUUUGUUUUGAAAUGCAGGGAGAGGGGGAGGAAUAUUUUAUCAAUUUACAGAGAGUUUAUAAGACUGGAAAUUCUGGAGCCAGAACAACAGCUUAGGGCAAAAUCCUGCUGUUAUGCAAUAUGGUUGUUGAGGAGGGGGAAGUAGAGGGGUGAUGGCAGGAGAAUCAGCCUACUUGUGCAAAACUGGGUAGAGCAAGGCAGCUAGAGAGAGAAAAUGUUCAGAGAAGGUUCCUUGUGCUGUGUAUCCUGUGUGCUAGUCAGUGUCCAGCAGACCAUAGCUGCUAUUGGUCUCAUAGGUACUGGGUGGGACAUAGAAGGUUUUGGAGGAGACAGCAGUCUGAGGCUAGGAGGACAGCCUUCCCUGCCUCAUGUCCCAACAACCAGAUGUACAUGACACUACAAAGGAGUGGAGGUUUUUUAUCAAAAAUGGCAUAAGAUAUUUGUCUUAGUGAUUUUAUAGCAUUUUGAACAAAUUCUGAAAUUCUGAAGUUAUAUGUUGUCUUUAAAUCACGUUUAACAUACUAUUUAUGAUACUCAUUUUCUCAAGACAUAUCGUUUAUGCUUAUUGUUACAGGAAUUUUUUACCACUCACUCAUAUUUUUAGUAAUCUCAGGCCACUAAAAAUUUAUAUUCUGGGGGAUAUUAGGUGAACUUUAACAAAAGGCUUUGGUCUAGAGAUGUUUUUCUUUCCCUGAAAAUGUGAGAGUAUGCACUACUAUUCAGAUAUAAAAGCACACUGUAGUAUAGAACCUGAUGAAGAAUCCUACAGCCUGCAAAGUAAGAGAACUCAUGGAAUAAGUGAUGUUUCCAUGAGAAGAUAACACUUUACUCAGAAGUUCCUUUUUUUUUUUUUUAAUUAUGAAAUCACUUCAAACAGUUUCAAAAUGUAAUAGAAACAAUAUGGUGUGGCACUUGAUGUUGGCUUCUACAAUUAGUGUGUUAUUAAUUAAAGUCUCAAGUAAUAUAAUAACUUUACUGUUGGAACCUCUCUUUGCAUUUAAAAUACAUGCAGACUGUGGCUCCAAUUAUAAAUAGACCAUAACUCUAAAGGCUUAAAACUGCAAAUUAAAUUAUUCACAGACGGAUUGUUAAAUUUAUGUUAUAAUCCUGAGAAAUUAUUUUUGUGUAUUUUUAUUAUGUUCCAUAUACUAUAUCCAAGCAUCCUUUUUCACCAGUAAAUUUUUGUUGCAUUGGACAUGUGCGUCUCUUUCUCCACUAACACAUGUGCAUACACAUGCUCUUGCACACUCUUACAGUUAAGUAUCAUUUCCUGAGCAAUUAUCUGCAGGUGUCUAAGCAGGGAUAAGUUGGUCUGAGAUGGAACUAAAACCCUAUUACCUCUGUUUAUCUGCUUUUUGAAAAGUUGUUCCACAGAAUUGUGAUUAACCACAUAACAUUGCAGAGGAGCUGCAGUUGUCCUGGUUUUGUUGAAUCACUAGUAAAAUUUCUACAGUCCCAAUGGGCUUUGGAGAAUGUUCAUGGUUUGGCAAUAAUAAAUGCAUUCUGAAUUAUCAAAAAUCAGGUUCUUUAUUGUUUUUUUUUAUUAUUUUUAACAUGAAUUAGCAGUUGUCAUGGGAGUCACAACGCCAUCAUCCAUCUCUAAUAAAAUCAAUUUAUGGUGUUUUCUUAAACCUACCCUUUAUCAUGGGCAAACUUAAUGUCUGUAACUAUAACUGGAAAGGUUCCCAGGGACUGAAAUAUUUUUUCUUUAAGAACUCUGUUUGAAGAUUGUACGUUGUUAAGUCUUUUGUCAGUAACCUGGAAUCUCUGAAUUAAAGUGGCCAAAGACGCUGAGGAUCUCCAGCAACAAAUGUUACCAGACUAUAAACUUCUGCCAGCCUGUUUGAGGACAUUCACUCCAUCAGCUAUAGAGUUAUGCUGAUUACAUCUAUAUGGAAGAUUGAGUACAGGACAUCUUAUUCAAAAAAUGGUUUCAAGUCAAGGCAAGUAACCUUUUUUUUUUUUUUUUUUUUUUCCCAAAACUAUAUGGAUAUGAUUUUCCUGGUUUAUAUAUAUAUAUAUAUAUAUAUAUGUAUUUUUAGACUGUAGGACAGAUGCUAUUUAGUAAUGAUUGAAACAUUGUGCUUGAUCCCAAACUUUACAAGUUUGUGAGUUUGUGUUUUGUUAGAAAAACAAUGAACAAAUGAAAAGCAAUAGAACAUUUUAACCAAUGCCAUAUUAUAAUCUGUCAGCAGAUUAUACAUGGCUAAUUUUGGCAUGUGUUGAUAUAAUAUAAAAAGAUUACAAGAAUAUAAAAUUAACUUUGAAAAAAUUUCUACACUUUCUAAAACAAAGUUUCAAAAGUUGCUUUUUUCUUCAGAAGAAAUGAUUUUUUUAAAUAAUAACAUUUUAAAUAUUGUUAUUUUUCCAUAGAUCAGAACUUUAUCAAUUUAUCUGGGUUAGACAUUCUUCCAUAUUAACUUUAGAUUUUAUCUUGCUCCGUUUUCUCAUGAUUGAUAUCAGAAGCAGACAGAAGAGAGUUAGGAAUAAGGCUAUCCCAAUUUCUUCCUGGUGUCUUAUUCCUGUGUUUUCACAAAGAAAUAAAAGAACUAAUUCAAAGCAUGUUUAAAAACUAAGGAAAGCUACCAGCCCUCUUUCAAAGCACCUUCUACCCCCACUUGAAGGGAAACAUAAACUAUUAAUAAAUCUUUAUCCAGAUAAGGAUAAAACCUACUGAUAUCAGUUCAAGUGCUAAACCCACUGAGGGAGAGGGUGUUAGCAUCUGUGGAUAUUGUUUUUGUGUCUCCACCAACAACAAGAUCUCUAGUCAACUGAGUUGCCAAUACAAAGUCAAAGAACUAUAAACCAGCUGUACACAGCUGUAUGCAUUCCUCCUCCAGAGCCAUCUGCAGAUUUUGCCACAAAUCUAGUGUUGGCUCCCAAGAUUUUGAUGCCCUGAGGAAACUGGGGAAUUUCUAUGCCUCCAAGCACAAGUUUACUUACUCAGGCACAAAACAUCAUUCUGUCACCAAAAUAUUGCUGCCUUCCGUGGCUGUCUAUGCUACACACGUCAAUUGCUUUUCUUCAGCACCCCAAGAUUUGUUUUAGGGUGGGGUUUUCUUGUUGUUGUUUUUUAUUUUGGUUUGGGUUUUUUGUUUUGUUUUGUUUUGUUUUUCUGUUGAAAAUCCCAAUUAAUUUAGGAGUAUGCACAUCUUCUAUUCUUUCAUUUGUUGUUAAAUGCCCUCCCAACACUGCUAAUAUUUUGGAGAACAGGAGCUGUCAGAGCUAAGAAUUCCGGUUCAAAGCCUUCCAGUUCUCAGUCACUUGGAAAAAAAAAGAAACUGAGAGCCUUAUUCAAUUGUCCUGCUCUUAUCGUGUGGGCUAGACUUUUCCCUUCUCCACAGCUUCUCUUUCAAGAGAUGUUAACAUGGUCCCUCAAACAUAAUAGUUCUGUCAGCCAGGCUAACAAAUCUACACCAACUAAGAGAAAUGCUGAUAAUAACAAUAACAUCCCUUUAUUUAGAACAUAAAUGUGUACCCUGUCUUGCAAAUUAGACAUGGUUCUGUCAUCUAAGACAGGAGAAUCCAGUCACCCGCCUUUUGACAUAGGAGCAAUGGCUAUGAAUCGAAUCAUCUAAACUUGGAAAAGAAGUGUGGGAAGGACAUUCCGAGAUCAUGUAGCCUUUCCUCAUGUCUCAAGGCAGGAUAACUGCAGUGAUGUCUUUCUCACAGGUGCUUGUCGAACCUCUUCUGAAAGACUUACAAUGUUGAUGAUUCCAGUCUGCUUAUUUGCUUGCAGGAGAAGGAAGCAUUGUGCAGUUAAUUUUGGAUAUUAAUGAUUUAACCUUUGUUGUGGUUUAACCUGGCAGGCAGCUAAACACAACACAGCUGUUCGCUUGCCACUCCCCUUUCCCCAGUGGGAUGGGAGAGAGAAUCAGAAAAAAGGUGAAACUCGUGGGCUGAGAUAAAGGCAGAGUAAUAGGACAGUAAAGGAAGAUAAAAUAAUAAUAUUAAUGAUAAAAUAAUAUUCAAAACAAGUGGCGCACAAUGCAAUCGCUCACCACCUGCUGACUGGUUCCCAGCCCAUCCCCAAGCAACAAUCAUGGUCCUAUUUAGCUUCCCCCAAAUUUAUAUUCUGAGCAUGAUGUCAUAUGGUGUGGAAUAUCCUUUUGGGCAGUUUGGGUCACCUGUCCUUGCUGUGUCCCCUCCCAGAUUCUUGUGGUAGAGUAUGGGAAGUUGAUAAGUUCUCGACUUGAUGUAAACUUUGCUUAGCAACAACUGAAUCAUCAAUGUCCUAUCAAAACUAUUCUCAUACUAAAUCCAAACCACAGCACCAUACCAUCUACUAGAAAGAAAAUUAACUCUCUUGCAGCUGAAACCAUGACACAUUUAAAAUCUUUUAUUUGUUGUCCUGGUGGUAGUAUAAACCAUGUCUCGUACUGAUUUUAAACUUCACAUAAAUCCUAAUUAAGACCUAAAGUCAAUCAUUGGUUAUCUGGCAUUGGAGAAUAGACUAUUUGCUUUUUAUUUCAGCUGUUACUUAUACAUUAUUAUUGUUUCUACUGGCAAUGAGGGUAAAAAGUUAAUGUUUAUAUUCCAAUAAGAAUUUGCAUACUGUACUUUAAAUACUAGACAAGGAAGAGUCACAAAAAAACAGAUCUAUUCAUUCAAAACAUAGCCGAAUAUUUUGUUCUCUCUUAGUCAAAAUGACUUGGAAUAAUCUUUAUAUUACCUUCAAAGACUUUUGGUAAUCUUUAUAUCAAGUUAUAGUUAAAACAAAGAUAGGACCAUUAGCUUCAUUUCUUCUUAAACAUCAUAAAGGCCUUUUUGUGAACCACACAGUAUUCAGACAGAACUGCUAAAAAUGUUUAUAACUCUUAAUUUCAUAAAAUCAUAACAAUUGGAUGCAAUACUGUUCCAUUUUUGUACACAAGAUUUAGGGAGAGAAGGCUUUAGGGUGCUUUCUCCACACAUAGAUGGACUUCCAGCUUUUCUUUCCAAGCAUUUAUAGGGAUUAAGCAUUUUUGAGUGCAUAGCCUACAAAUAAUUUUCUGAAAUACAUUUAAAAAUAUUCAUAAUGAUUAGGCCAUAAAUAGAUGCAUUACUAACAUUCAUUGGUCCCUGGAUCAACAGCUCAUCAGGGAAAAGAGAGAAACAUGAAAGCUAAUUCAAUAAAGUUGCAAGGGGAGAAAAAGAAAACCUUAAUGAAGAUCUAGUGUAGUCUAAGAUGUUAUAAGGAUAAAAAUCACCUAAUUAAGGGAUAAUCUCUCUUACUUUGUAGUAUUGGAGCAAUAAAUGACUGCAAAGAUUGAUUAAUCAGCAAAGCUAAAAUGGGGUCUUUAAACAAUCUCCAAACUUGUUUAGCAUGCUUGUGACAAAGCAGUCAAGAUUAUCCCAAAUUCUCUGGUGAUGUAAAUAAACAAAACUCCUCUGAUGCCAUUGGAAUUGCACCCUUGAUGUCAGCACAUAUUUUAACCUAAUUUUCUUUCCUCCUUUGUAAGGGAAUAUACUUAUUUUGCAGUGCCAUCUUGGUGACUACAUGCUGGUUAUUCAAGAUACUGGCUGAGUAGGAACUGGAGUGGUUCAGUUAUCAAGUUCUGAGGGAAAUCCCAGCUCCAUCAAGUCCACAGAAAAUUCAGAGCACCAUACAUGCAGGACUGGUUGGCCUAUUUGUGAAGGGAAGAGGUUCAUAUCUAAGCACUUAUAGGUACACUGCUAAAUUAGAAAUAGAUGGCUGAUAUUCCAGCAGGGAGAAGUAUUCACAUAUCCAGGUAAACUCCAAGAUAGCUAUGACAGUUUGAAAAACAGUUAUAUCUUUAUUUUGAAAAACAUCUUCAAGGAAUCUAGGAUUCAAAAGGUUGGCUUCUGCAUUCCUGGAUCAAUUUGUUGUUACAGACUGGUAGUAUUGUGCAAAAUAAUGGUAUUAUACAAAAAAACCUUCAGUUCAGUGAAAAAAAAACAAAAGAGUUUCCUUCUUUUCUUUCUUAAUCGACAUUGGCAUAUGCUAAAACAUUAAUUAUGCCUCCAACCAGCUCUCCCAAUCCAAAGUUGGCAGCUUCUAUCUGUCUCUAGUUACCACAGCUCAGAACUGAAUAUGAUUAUUUUUUCUUUCUUUUCCUAACUAAGCUGUAUUUUUUCUUUAGUCAUCAAGGACUUGAGACCACUUAAUUGUGCUGACCAGUGUCUUAUUCCGGGUGUACUCAACAUGUGUGGUGCUGCCAGAUUUGUCCUAUAGAUGAUUAUAGUCUAUUGUAUUAGACUAUCAUAUCCUAUUUGAACAAGGGGCCAUUAUUAUAAAUCAUCUUCACUAUAUAAGGAGAUAACCUUUGACUUAAAUGGUAGAAAAAGAACAUAGUUUAAACAAACACAAGACUGUUACUGUAAAGAGUUCAUAAAGAUGAAAGUUUGGAGACUAAAAUUCUCUGUUUGUGAGCCAGAGAGUGGGAAGGCAAAGCUUGUACUCUGUCUCCUGCUCAGUGUGUAUUUACUUUAAACCUAACUUCAAGGUAGAAAUGAAACUCUCCUGGAAAGAGUAAAGAAAAUACCUCUGUGUAUUGCUUUAAAUUAGACUUCCUUUAAGCCCGCACUGUUACAGGUGCCAAAUGGUAUGUGUAACCGAUGUUGAAUAAGGUCUAUGUGAGUCUUAGCUGCAAUCAGCAAAUUCAUUGAAGCACUCAGGUUAGUACUAAAUUCAAGCAUUAAUAAAGGAAAAUGCACUCCCAGAGACUAAUUUCUUUGAACGAAUGAGUUAUGCAAGUAAAUAACACUUUGGCUACACACCUUUCACAUGGAAACAGGAGUACAUAAGGAGAGUUUAAUUAAAAAUCUAAAAAAUUUAACUGUUCCCUUGUCCUGUGCCUGCAUGCAUGCUAGGGUUAGAGAAGUAACUUUUGUUGUUGUUGUUGUUGUUGUUGUUGUUGUUGUUGUUGUUGUUGUUGUUGUUGUUGUUGUUUUUUACUUGCCAGUGAUGCCACAUGUCAGGAUGUUCCCACGGAAACAAUGGAGGAAGCAAUACCUUGGACUGAUGCAAUAAUAGGGAUGCAGACCCAUAAUUAUGGUCCAUGGUAAAUAACAACCAGAUCCCCUUUUAAGGUCUUAUUUGGUCUUCCUUCAUUCCAAAUACACUCUCUAACUUUGGUUAAAGAAUUAUUUUGGUCUGAAAUUAUCGUCAGGCUUAAUCUGAAGGCACUAUGUUGGAGAUACCCAGCAUGAAGAAAGUUAUGGCUUCGAGUUACUUUUGAAAUACAGAUUGUCAGAAAUACCUUGGUUUGGAUUUACCAAUCAAUACCAAAAAUACCUUUGAUGUUCUUAACACUCACAUAGUCUUCUUAAAGCACAUUCAAAAUUCUUGGUACUGUCAUGGCACAAAAAACGGCUUGUGUGCAUGACUUAACACACUUGACACUGGGAUAUUCUUAAACUCCGCCUCAAAGCAAGAAAGGAUGUGAGAAAGGACAGCAUUUCUUUGACUGACACUUGCAGAAGGCAAAGGUAAAAGAGUGCAUGUGUUGGAUGAAGGGGAAAAGGGGAGGCCAGGAAACUGAGAUUUCCAGAGAGUAAUAAUUCCAAGAAUCUUCAAUUCAUCCACCAGAAUCUAAGAGUUAUUUUUGUUACCUUUUAAUGGAGGUUCCUAUUUGUAAGGAAAUUGAAACACCUGAUAGAAAUUUUUUGUUUAAGUUUCCUUGGAUAUUGAGGAAGUGAGGGAAGCACAGCUCAGUUUUGUUUCCUUUAAGUUAAUGGAGCAUUAGUCUGUCUUUUUAGAAUUAGGUAAUCUAAAGAUAUAAAGUAAGAGCCUUGAUAUUAGAAAACUGAGGCACAGCCAAACCUUGGGAAAAAACUUGAGCUAAACUAUGUGUUUUUCUUAUUAAAAUCACAGUGCAGAAGGGAAGUUCCUGUCUCUCAACACACGGCUGUUAAGCAAUCAAAGAAUGGUAUGAUCUGUGCACUAAACAAUAAUUUAAAGUAUACCCUCAAGCAUUUUAAAACACAGAAGCAAACUUUUUGAAGGGACACAACUGCCAAAAGAAACAAAUAAAAGCAACUAUAAAUUUGGCAGCGAAUCCAUAAAGUAUUUCCUGCAAAAAUGUGAUAAUUCUUUUGUGUGUGUGCAUGUGCAGUGUUAUCUUUAAGUAUCAGCAACAGUGAGUGAUCUCAUACAUGUAAAAGCUAGGCAUGGUGGGCUGUCUAUGGGAAUAUGGUCAGAUCACAAGGUUGAAGCUAGUCUAAAUUAAUAAUAUUUAUUUCAACUAUCUUGUGUGAGCUCGUUGUGUUAAACAAGAUUUUGAUCACAGAUAGAUAAAGACUAAAGUUUCUGGUAAUCCCUAAUUUUGGUAAAAUGGAUGUGGACAGCCAUUAAAAAAAAAAAAAAAAAAAAAAAAAACAAGAAAAGUUACAGUUUUCUAUAGAAAUUGUGAAACCUGAGUGGUGUAUGACUAAGAAGUUCAGAAGUCUAACUCAGGUAUAUCUGGCCCUGUGGCCACUGUCCAGUUGACUAAAAUGUAGGCAGAACUGUGGCUCUAUUUGAUUCUGUAGCAAUACUCUUACAGAGUUCAAAAGAUUUAAAACUUCACCCUAUUUGAGAAUGUUAGCUUUUUGGAAAUAAAUAGCUCUUUGGCACAGAUUUUUAUUUCUUUAUUUAUAUAUUUAUUUAUUUAUUUUAGAAGAAGCACUAUUAUUUUUGAAUGGCCUUAACAAAUCCAAGAGCAGUAAGCUUCAGUAAUUUGGAAACUUUGACUCUUGCAGCUUAUUUCACUUAGAAACACAAACUCCUGCAGACCUUUCCAACAAGUCCUCUAAUCCCUCUGCUCCCUCCACUGGCUUCCUACAGAACUCUGCAUUCAUCUGAAGGCCUUUAUUCACAAAGCCUCAGAUCAUAUUAUUAAAAGAUCAGUGAAAUACCAGUCCCCAGACUGCCCUUGGCAGCUUCAUGCCCCUGGCUGACCAGGUUUCUCCAUGAGGAGAAUGUGCAGUUAUCAUUUGUAUACAACAGGGAACUUCAUACAAAACUAGUGCAAACUGGUCCAAACAAACCUCAGUUCAUCAGUGUAUCUUUGUCUCUAAAGACAAGAAGCCUGUCACUAACCUCAACUCUUGUAACAUACGCAUGCAGGCACAUACAGAGAAGUCGUUUUGUGGGUGCCAGAUGAACAAAUAUAAAGCAAUGCACUCAACUUCAGAAACAACUCAUGUGGCAAGAAGAAGACAGGCAAACAAGUGGCAUAUAUUAGUUGCUAUACAAGUUGGUAAUAUAAUAAACACGAGAGCCAGCACAAAAGAGAGUAAUAGAAGAUCAGGUGGAAGGAGGUCAGUCAGCUGAUCUGUCCUCCUGCUCCAAGGCAGGAUGAAUGGAAAGUCCAAAUAUUGAUGAACAAACAUUUCUACAGUAGGCUCAAUUCUGACCACAGUAAAGUCAAAAUUUCCAGCUCAGUAUCCUUCCUGAAAAAAAAUGACUUCUUGGAGGCCCUUUCUCUUCCAAGGACAUGUAUGGCAGUCAGUAAUGAAACAUGUUCUGUCAGUUAUUGAAAUGAGGUUUUACUAUGCAACUCCACACAGAAAAGGUUCAGCAUUGCGGACAUAAAUCAGCUUUGCUCCACCAAACAAUAGGCUCAGAGCAUGGCCAAAAAGACCCACAACAAAAUUAGCAUCAAGAGUGUUGACCAGGGUAAGUAUUCUGCUUUGUCUCAAUGGAAACUGACAGUGCUGUGAGCUCCAGAGACCACUGGUUCUAAUCGAGCUUGUCUCAAUAGCUUCCUUCUACUUGUCAGCAGCUGGACAAAAGCAGAAUUAAUGCCUAAGCCCAUCUGUACUAGUUCAGUACUGGGAAGAGGAGUUUCCGUGAAGCCAUGAGAUAGACCUUUGGGACCAGCCAGGAUGCUAUAACAGACAACGUGCUGAAGGCAAGAGACAGAGACCUGAGGUCAGAAGAGGAGUUGUUUUUGUGGCUACAGGCCUGAAUGAAGUAAUGUCUUAAACAAGGAUUUUAAGCGUUGUCUUGCUGUUUUUGUCAUUUCUACUCAAAGUGAAAAGAAUUUAUAUACUUACUGUGUACUAACAAUAGUUAAAUUCUUCAACCUUGGUCCAUGCUUAUGUAGGCUCAAAACCCAUAUAGAUUUCAACAUAUGCUUAGCUUGGCAAAUGUAACACAUCUCAUUCAAUUCAAAGGUUUGACUGACAGUGGCUGGAGUUAAAAGCAUAAGGACUCAGGGCAAUAUGUUCUUAGGACAAGAGCUGUCCCUCAUGUCAUCCCUGUAAAGUACCUAGCCCAGGGAGGGAUAUCUCAUUGUGGAAUAAUACAAAUUAUGUGCUAGGCCAGGAAUUGCUCCGAGUUUGCCUUCCAGUAAGAAACUGACCCCAUCUCAAGUUCCCAGCAUUAUCAUACAGCAAUGGAAUGAGAUUAUUGUUUUCUCUAAUUUGAAAAUUGGUGGUAGGGCCCAAAUGCCCCUAUUCAUUGUGAUAGGUGCUGCAUAGCAAAGAGUCGUUUUUGUUUCUU